rnacentral:rRNA from 1 species
GACGAACGCUGGCGGCGUGCUUAACACAUGCAAGUCGAACGGAAAGGCCCUGCUUUUGUGGGGUGCUCGAGUGGCGAACGGGUGAGUAACACGUGAGUAACCUGCCCUUGACUUUGGGAUAACUUCAGGAAACUGGGGCUAAUACCGGAUAGGAGCUCCUGCUGCAUGGUGGGGGUUGGAAAGUUUCGGCGGUUGGGGAUGGACUCGCGGCUUAUCAGCUUGUUGGGGGGGUAGUGGCUUACCAAGGCUUUGACGGGUAGCCGGCCUGAGAGGGUGACCGGCCACAUUGGGACUGAGAGACGGCCCAGACUCCUACGGGAGGCAGCAGUGGGGAAUAUUGCACAAUGGGCGGAAGCCUGAUGCAGCAACGCCGCGUGCGGGAUGACGGCCUUCGGGUUGUAAACCGCUUUCGCCUGUGACGAAGCGUGAGUGACGGUAAUGGGUAAAGAAGCACCGGCUAACUACGU